AAACUAGAGGAAAGUCCAUGCUCGCACAUCCUGUGAUGGAUGUAGUGAUUGCGCUAGGCCAAUAAAUAAGCCUAGGCACGUAGGAGUACGUGACGGCGGAUGAACAUCUCCCGUAGAUGGGAUUCCAUAAAGUGCCACAGAGACGAGCUUGUUAGCGAUAGCAAGAUGAAACGUUGGUAAACCCCACAAGCGAGAAACCCAAAUUUGGUAGGGGAAGGAGAAUAGAGAACCGAAUCGAAUUCUCCCAGAGAAAUCUGAGAUUAAUUAUCGCCCUCGACAGAACAUGGCUUAUCG
rnacentral:RNase_P_RNA from 1 species